rfam:Pteropus alecto contig96298, whole genome shotgun sequence.
GUCUACAGCCAUGCCACCCUGAACAAGCCCGAUCCUGUCUGAUCUCCUAAGCUAAGCAGGGGCAGGCCUGGUUAGUACUUGGAUGGGAGACCACCUAGGAAGACCAGGAGCUGUAGGCG